CCUACGGGAGGCAGCAGUGAGGAAUAUUGGUCAAUGGGCGUAAGCCUGAACCAGCCAAGUCGCGUGAGGGAUGAAGGUUCUAUGUAUCGUAAACCUCUUUUAUAAGGGAAUAAAGUGCGGGACGUGUCCCGUUUUGUAUGUACCUUAUGAAUAAGGAUCGGCUAACUCCGUGCCAGCAGCCGCGGUAAUACGGAGGAUCCGAGCGUUAUCCGGAUUUAUUGGGUUUAAAGGGUGCGUAGGCGGCCUUUUAAGUCAGCGGUUAAAGUCAGUGGCUCAAACCUAGCAUUGCAGUUGAAACUGGGAGGCUUGAGUAUGAGAGAGGUAGGCGGAAUGCGAGGUGUAGCGGUGAAAUGCUUAGAUAUCAGGAAGAACCCCGAUUGCGAAGGCAGCCUGCCGGGUCAAGACUGACGCUGAUGCACGAAAGCGUGGGGAGCAAACAGGAUUAGAUACCCUUGUAGUC
rnacentral:rRNA from 1 species